UAGGGAAGGACCUGCCCAUCUGAUGGAAGGGAUUUCUGCAGAUGAAAAGAUGGGCAUUGCUGCUUCAGGAGCCUGUGAACUGGCCCCUGUAUUCAGGAGCCUGGGAUUAAAUAUCCUGGUCCUGUUAUAAUUUAACAUGGGGCAAAGUUGCGUUCAUCACUGGAGGUGGUUCUGGGAUUGGAUUCCGUGUAGCGGAAGUUUUCAUGAGGCAUGGCUGCAGUACAAUCAUUGCCAGCAGGAACUUGCAGAGAGUAACUGAGGUGAGUAGCUGGGAGUCUGGUGGAGUAGGAACUGGAGAUCCAAGAACAUUCUUGCAUAUGUCCAGAGACCCCAGACUAAAAUAGGGGCAG